AUUGAACGCUGGCGGCAGGCUUAACACAUGCAAGUCGAGCGGAGCGAGGGUGCUUGCACCUUAGCUUAGCGGCGGACGGGUGAGUAAUGCUUAGGAAUCUGCCUAUUAGUGGGGGACAACAUUCCGAAAGGAAUGCUAAUACCGCAUACGUCCUACGGGAGAAAGCGGGGGAUCUUCGGACCUUGCGCUAAUAGAUGAGCCUAAGUCGGAUUAGCUAGUUGGUGGGGUAAAGGCCCACCAAGGCGACGAUCUGUAGCGGGUCUGAGAGGAUGAUCCGCCACACUGGGACUGAGACACGGCCCAGACUCCUACGGGAGGCAGCAGUGGGGAAUAUUGGACAAUGGGGGGAACCCUGAUCCAGCCAUGCCGCGUGUGUGAAGAAGGCCUUAUGGUUGUAAAGCACUUUAAGCGAGGAGGAGGCUACUGAGACUAAUACUCUUGGAUAGUGGACGUUACUCGCAGAAUAAGCACCGGCUAACUCUGUGCCAGCAGCCGCCGUAAAAC
rnacentral:rRNA from 1 species